rnacentral:rRNA from 1 species
UACAGAGGUCUCAAGCGUUGUUCGGAUUCAUUGGGCGUAAAGGGUGUGUAGGUGGCGCGCUAAGUCGGGUGUGAAAUUUCGGAGCUUAACUCCGAAACUGCAUUCGAUACUGGCGUGCUUGAGGACUGGAGAGGAGACUGGAAUUUACGGUGUAGCAGUGAAAUGCGUAGAUAUCUGGAGGAACACCGGUGGCGAAGGCGGCAUCCUGGACCAACACUGACACUGAAAAGCGAAAGCCAGGGGAGCAAACGGG